UACAUGCAAGUCGAGCGGACAGAUGGGAGCUUGCUCCCUGAUGUUAGCGGCGGACGGGUGAGUAACACGUGGGUAACCUGCCUGUAAGACUGGGAUAACUCCGGGAAACCGGGGCUAAUACCGGAUGCUUGUUUGAACCGCAUGGUUCAGACAUAAAAGGUGGCUUCGGCUACCACUUACAGAUGGACCCGCGGCGCAUUAGCUAGUUGGUGAGGUAACGGCUCACCAAGGCGACGAUGCGUAGCCGACCUGAGAGGGUGAUCGGCCACACUGGGACUGAGACACGGCCCAGACUCCUACGGGAGGCAGCAGUAGGGAAUCUUCCGCAAUGGACGAAAGUCUGACGGAGCAACGCCGCGUGAGUGAUGAAGGUUUUCGGAUCGUAAAGCUCUGUUGUUAGGGAAGAACAAGUGCCGUUCAAAUAGGGCGGCACCUUGACGGUACCUAACCAGAAAGCCACGGCUAACUACGUGCCAGCAGCCGCGGUAAUACGUAGGUGGCAAGCGUUGUCCGGAAUUAUUGGGCGUAAAGGGCUCGCAGGCGGUUUCUUAAGUCUGAUGUGAAAGCCCCCGGCUCAACCGGGGAGGGUCAUUGGAAACUGGGGAACUUGAGUGCAGAAGAGGAGAGUGGAAUUCCACGUGUAGCGGUGAAAUGCGUAGAGAUGUGGAGGAACACCAGUGGCGAAGGCGACUCUCUGGUCUGUAACUGACGCUGAGGAGCGAAAGCGUGGGGAGCGAACAGGAUUAGAUACCCUGGUAGU
rnacentral:rRNA from 1 species